AUUGAACGCUGGCGGCAUGCCUUACACAUGCAAGUCGAACGGUAACAGGUCUUCGGAUGCUGACGAGUGGCGAACGGGUGAGUAAUACAUCGGAACGUGCCUAGUAGUGGGGGAUAACUACUCGAAAGAGUGGCUAAUACCGCAUGAGAUCUACGGAUGAAAGCAGGGGAUCGCAAGACCUUGUGCUACUAGAGCGGCCGAUGGCUGAUUAGGUAGUUGGUGGGAUAAAAGCUUACCAAGCCGACGAUCUGUAGCUGGUCUGAGAGGACGAUCAGCCACACUGGAACUGGGACACGGCCCGGACUCCUACGGGAGGCAGCAGUGGGGAAUUUUGGACAAUGGGCGCAAGCCUGAUCCAGCAAUGCCGCGUGCAGGAUGAAGGCCUUCGGGUUGUAAACUGCUUUUGUACGGAACGAAAAGCCCUGGGUUAAUACCCUGGGGUCAUGACGGUACCGUAAGAAUAAGCACCGGCUAACUACGUGCCAGCCGCCGCCGUAA
rnacentral:rRNA from 1 species